rnacentral:rRNA from 1 species
UACGUAGGGUGCGAGCGUUGUCCGGAAUUAUUGGGCGUAAAGAGCUCGUAGGUGGCGUGUCGCGUCUGCCGUGAAAGCCCAUGGCUUAACUGUGGGUCUGCGGUGGAUACGGGCAGGCUGGAGGCUGGUAGGGGCAAGCGGAAUUCCUGGUGUAGCGGUGAAAUGCGCAGAUAUCAGGAGGAACACCGGUGGCGAAGGCGGCUUGCUGGGCCAGUUCUGACGCUGGAGGAGCGAAAGCGUGGGGAGCGAACAGG